UAUAAGCUAUUAAGGGCUAAUGGUGGAUGCCUUGACUGUAAGAGGCGAUGAAGGACGUAUUAGGCUGCGAUAAGCCUCGGGGAGCUGCCAAAGAGCUUUGAUCCGAGGAUUUCCGAAUGGGGCAACCCAGCAUAUAGAGAUAUAUGUUACCCUACGGGGAGCGAACCUGGUGAAGUGAAACAUCUCAGUAGCCAGAGGAAGAGAAAUCAAAUGAGAUUCCCAUAGUAGCGGCGAGCGAACUGGGAUUAGGACAAACCCAAUGCUUGCAUUGGGGGUUGUAGGACUAUAAUGUGUAAUUAAAGAGAAUAGAUGAAUUAGUUGGAAAACUAGAGCAUAGAAGGUGAUACUCCUGUAAUUAAAAUUCUCAAUAAUACUAAUAGUAUCCUGAGUAGGUCGGAACACGUGAUAUUUUGACUGAAGCUGGGGGGACCACCCUCCAAUCCUAAAUACUACUUACAGAUCGAUAGUGAACAAGUACCGUGAGGGAAAGGUGAAAAGUACUGCAGCGAGCAGAGUGAAAUAGAACCUGAAACCAUUAGCUUACAAUCAUUCAGAGCCCUAUGAUUUAUCAGGGUGAUGGACUGCCUUUUGCAUAAUGAGCCUGCGAGUUGUGGUGUCUGGCAAGGUUAAGCCAAGUGCGAAGCCGUAGCGAAAGCGAGUCUUAAUAGGGCGACAUAGUCAGAUGCUGCAGACCCGAAACGAAGUGAUCCAUCCAUGAGCAGGUUGAAGCUGGUGUAAGAGCCAGUGGAGGACCGAACCCGCUGACGUUGAAAAGUCUUGGGAUGACUUGUGGAUAGGGGUGAAAGGCCAAUCAAACUUCGUGAUAGCUGGUUCUCUCCGAAAUAUAUUUAGGUAUAGCCUUGUGUUGUAGCAUAUAGGGGUAGAGCACUGAAUGGGCUAGGGCUGCUUACCGCGGUACCAAACCCUAUCAAACUAUGAAUACUAUAUGUGGAAUCACAGGAGUCAGGCGGUGGGUGAUAAAAUCCGUCGUCAAGAGGGGAACAACCCAGACUAACAGCUAAGGUCCCUAAGUUACAUCUAAGUGGAAAACGAUGUGGAGUUACUGUGACAACCAGGAGGUUGGCUUAGAAGCAGCCAUCCUUUAAAGAAAGCGUAACAGCUCACUGGUCUAGUGAUUCUGCGCGGAAAAUAUAACGGGGCUAAGAUGUACACCGAAGCUUUAGAUUCAAUUUUUAAUUGAGUGGUAGGAGAGCGUUCUAUUCAGCGUUGAAGGUAUACCGGUAAGGAGUGCUGGAGCGGAUAGAAGUGAGCAUGCAGGCAUGAGUAGCGAUAAUUAAGGUGAGAAUCCUUAACGCCGAAAACCCAAGGUUUCCUACGCGAUGCUCGUCAUCGUAGGGUUAGUCGGGUCCUAAGUCGAGACUGAAAAGUGUAGACGAUGGCAAAUUGGUUAAUAUUCCAAUACCAACAUAUAAGCGCGAUGUGGGGACGCAUAGAGUUAGUCGAGCUCACUGAUGGAAUAGUGGGUCGAAGGAUGUAGGUUGUUAAGUAGGCAAAUCCGCUUAACGUUAGACCGAGAUCUUACAGGCUCUUGACACUCUUCGGAGGAGAUGGAGAAUCGAUGAUACUGUCGUGCCAAGAAAAGCCACUAAGUUUAUUAUAUGUUGCCCGUACCGUAAACCGACACAGGUGGGUGGGAUGAGUAUUCUAAGGCGCGUGGAAGAACCCUCUUUAAGGAACUCUGCAAAAUAGCACCGUAUCUUCGGUAUAAGGUGUGCCUACUUUGGUAUAUGAACUUGCUUCAAAAAGCUAGAGAGGUUGCAACAAAGAGUCCCUCCCGACUGUUUACCAAAAACACAGCACUUUGCUAACACGUAAGUGGAUGUAUAAGGUGUGACGCCUGCCCGGUGCUCGAAGGUUAAUUGAUGAUGUCAGCGCAAGCGAAGCAUUUGAUCGAAGCCCGAGUAAACGGCGGCCGUAACUAUAACGGUCCUAAGGUAGCGAAAUUCCUUGUCAGUUAAAUACUGACCUGCAUGAAUGGCGUAACGAGAUGGGAGCUGUCUCAAAGAGGGAUCCAGUGAAAUUGUAGUGGAGGUGAAAAUUCCUCCUACCCGCGGAAAGACGGAAAGACCCCGUGCACCUUUACUACAGCUUGACACUGUAGCUUGGAUAUUCAUGUGCAGGAUAGGUGGGAGGCUAUGAUGACUAGACGCAAGUAGAGUCGGAGCCAUCCUUGAGAUACCACCCUUGAAUAUUUGAGUUACUAACUGCGAUGAGUUAUCCUCAUUCAGGACAAUGUCUGGUGGGUAGUUUGACUGGGGCGGUCGCCUCCUAAAUAGUAACGGAGGCUUACAAAGGUUAGUUCAAAGCGGAUGGAAAUCGCUUGUUGAGUAUAAUGGCAUAAACUAGCUUGACUGUGAGACCUACAAGUCGAACAGAGACGAAAGUCGGUCAUAGUGAUCCGGUGGUUCUGCGUGGAAGGGCCAUCGCUCAAAGGAUAAAAGGUACGCCGGGGAUAACAGGCUGAUCUCCCCCAAGAGCUCACAUCGACGGGGAGGUUUGGCACCUCGAUGUCGGCUCAUCGCAUCCUGGGGCUGUAGUCGGUCCCAAGGGUAUGGCUGUUCGCCAUUUAAAGCGGUACGCGAGCUGGGUUCAGAACGUCGUGAGACAGUUCGGUCCCUAUCUUCCGUGGGCGUAGGAAAGUUGAAGAGAUUUGUCCCUAGUACGAGAGGACCGGGAUGAACCAACCACUGGUGUACCAAUUGUUCUGCCAAGAGCAUCGUUGGGUAGCCACGUUGGGAUGUGAUAAGAGCUGAAAGCAUCUAAGCUCGAAGCCAACUCUAAGAUGAACUUUCCCUGAAGUUCCCAGCAAGACUAGCUGGUUGAUAGGCUGGAUGUGUAAUGGGUGUAAGCCCUUUAGCUGACCAGUACUAAUAGAACGUUUGGCUUAUUUUUAACAAUUUUCUUUGGUUUACU
rnacentral:rRNA from 1 species